rnacentral:rRNA from 1 species
CUCGCUGACGAGUGGCGGACGGGUGAGUAAUACUUAGGGAUCUGCCUUCGGGAGGGGGAUAACCAUUGGAAACGAUGGCUAAUACCGCAUAACGUCUACGGACCAAAGGGGGCUUCGGCUCUCACCUGAAGAGGAACCUAAGCGAGAUUAGCUUGUUGGUGAGGUAAAGGCUCACCAAGGCGACGAUCUCUAGCUGUUCUGAGAGGAAGAUCAGCCGCACUGGGACUGAGACACGGCCCAGACUCCUACGGGAGGCAGCAGUGGGGAAUAUUGCACAAUGGGGGAAACCCUGAUGCAGCCAUGCCGCGUGUGUGAAGAAGGCCUUCGGGUUGUAAAGCACUUUCAGUCGUGAGGAAAGGUUAGUAGUUAAUACCUGCUAGCUGUGACGUUAGCGACAGAAGAAGCACCGGCUAACUCCGUGCCAGCAGCCGCGGUAAUACGGAGGGUGCGAGCGUUAAUCGGAAUUACUGGGCGUAAAGCGCACGCAGGCGGAUUGUUAAGCUAGAGGUGAAAGCCCCGCGCUCAACGUGGGAAUUGCCUUUAGAACUGGCAGUCUAGAGUCUUGGAGAGGGGAGUGGAAUUCCAGGUGUAGCGGUGAAAUGCGUAGAGAUCUGGAGGAACAUCAGUGGCGAAGGCGACUCCCUGGCCAAAGACUGACGCUCAUGUGCGAAAGUGUGGGUAGCGAACAGGAUUAGAUACCCUGGUAGUCCACACCGUAAACGCUGUCUACUAGCUGUUUGUGUAUUAUAUACGUGAGUAGCGAAGCUAACGCGCUAAGUAGACCGCCUGGGGAGUACGGCCGCAAGGUUAAAACUCAAAUGAAUUGACGGGGGCCCGCACAAGCGGUGGAGCAUGUGGUUUAAUUCGAUGCAACGCGAAGAACCUUACCUACACUUGACAUACAG